GCCACCGAAGACCAUCCCGCCCCAUCGCCGAGGCUGCCCCGCGCGCUGCUGGAGGCCACCCCUAGGAGGCCGGGCCACUGCCGGAGGCCGUCCCUGGGAGGCUAGGCCGCCGGAGGCUGCCCCUGGGAGGCCCCGCGCUCCGCCGGAGACCAUCCUUGGGAGGCCAGGCCGCUGCCACCGUGCCUUGGUUGCAACACGAGAGAGAGGUAGAGCGGAUGAUGGUGACAAGUGGGACUGGGAAGAGAUAAGGUUGAGAGGGAAGGUGUGAGCUGGUUUGGAAGUUGUGGAUUGAUGACGCGGCCGAAGAUGUGUUUCUUUGUUAACUUAUAAUAUAUUUUUGGACCACUAAACAAUUUUAAAUAAAAAAGUUGGCAACUACAAAGUUUAAAAUCUUAUCGAGCUCUAUAAUUUUAAUAUAAAACUUUUAUUCAUCCGAGAGCGUAUGCAAAACUUUGUGUUAAAAAAAUACAACAAUUAAACUUAAUCCUUCUCAUCCUUAACAUCAAAUGAAUAACUUGUAUGUCUGUGACUACUAAAUGAUAUCAAAUGAAAAACUUGUAAACUACAAAAAUAAAGAUCUCGUUAAGCACUACCACUUUGAUAUAGAUCUUGUUUGCAUCCGAGAUCAUUUGAAAAAUUUUAAAAUUCAAGAUAUCAAAAUUAGAGAGCAUAGAAUGAUCUUUUGAACUAUUAAACAAUUUCAAAUGAAAAAGUUGUCAACUACAAGGAUUUAUGUUUCGUUGAGCUCUACAAUUUUGAUAUAAAGUUUUUAUUCAUCCGAGAUGAUAUGAAAAAGUUUGUAUUCAAAAAAUAUAUCUAUCAAACUCAUUCACAUGUACUCACACAUAUACUUAUACAUUAUCAUAUACUCACGCAUAUACUCAUUUAUUUAUAUAUACUCAUAUCCAUUUAAAUCUUAUUGAGUGUUACAACUUUCAGAUAGAGAUUUAUAAUUUUGAUGUAGAUCUUCUCUAUAGCGAAGUCAUUUGAAAAUUCAAAAAUUUUAGAUUUCAAAACUAGAGAACUUAUAAUGAUAUUUUGAAUUAUUAAAUAAUCUUAAAUUGAAAACUUGUCAACUUCAAAAUUUUAGAUAUCAUCGAACUCUACAAGUUUGAUGUAGAG
rnacentral:lncRNA from 1 species